rnacentral:lncRNA from 1 species
CCCUCCCCAUCUCCAAAAAACAAAAAUUCAUAUCUUCCUUCUCUCUUCUCACCUCGUCGAACCUCUCUGUUCAUCCUGCCAGACAUCUCCUUACAGCUCGUCGGUUUUUGUCAACUAUUUUGGAACUAUUUUCAGGUUUUGAACAGAUCAUGUCAUCUGUAAUUUUUUUCCUAUCUGUAAUUAUUUAUGUAAGUUUUGACUUCUGAUCAAAAAUUGUAAAUUCUGAUCCGAUCAGAACUUAUUUAUGAUUCGAACUUACUAAUGCAAGUUCCACAGUUUGAACUUAAAAAAAUUUGUGGCCGAUCUGGAAAUUUUCAACUAUUCUGAAACUAUUUUCAGGUUUUGAACAGAUCAUGUCAUCUGUAAUUUUUUUUCCAAUCUGUAAUUAUUUAUUUAAGUUCUGAAUUCUGAUCCGAACUUACUAAUGUAAGUUCCACAGAUUGAACUAUUUCUUUCUUCAUAAAUUAUGAUCCGAACUUACUAAUUUAUUUCUUUCUUCAUAAAAAAAGCUAUUUUCUUUAUUUUUUAUGAAAAUUAUGAUCGAAGAGGACUAUUCUAUGUUUUGAAAUUUGAUUAAUUGCAGAUAAAAAGAUAUGAUGUAUAAGUCAUUGAAGAAAAUUGAGAAAUUCAGAAUUUAAAAUACCUUCUUUACAAGUGUUGCUAUGCUCGUACAAGUUGUG